CUAGACGCGCCCUAGACGCGCCCUAGACGCGCCCUCCGCCCGGCGCCGCCGCACGCAAUCGCACCGACCCCCGCGACUGAAGAAACGAGUGUCAUCGACGCGAUCGACGUCCUCGUGUGUUAACGACGUCUAGUUUUUAUUACUCGCUCGACUCGAGUAGCCGAGCUCGAUAUUUAGUGUUUCAAAUACGAGUAAUCUUGGAUUCGACCGAAUUUGUAAUUGAGCCGAUUGCGUGUGCGAUGUUCGCAUUAUACACAUUUCAAUGUAAACAUUUUCGCGGACUCGAUACCUUGUACCCCAUUGUUGAAGUAGCCGAUAAGUUUGUAACGAUUAAUAUCGAUUCGUGGGAAAUAAAAUUGCAAAUAAUCUUAUGAUUGCUAUAUCAGAUUUAGCGAUAACCUUUAGAGGAGUAAGAUAACUUUAUGGAUACGUUUUUGAAUCAGUACUAUAAUUGCUAAAAUAUUAAGGAAAUUAAAAUUACAUGGUUCGUUCUGCGACCGCUACUCGAUGCGGUGUACUGAAUUUUAUUGCUCCCGGAUCGGUAGUAAGUUUAGUUAGACUGCCUACAAUUUCUCUAAAUGUAUUUAGCGUACGAUAGGUUAACUUACAGUUCUGUAUCGAAUAAGUCGUCGAUGGACGUUCGCAGAAAAUACGAUUCCCUAGGUGAUAAAUGCUGAUUAAACGAAGCGUAGAACACGUGCCGCUUUUGUAAACGAUUAUCACGUUUAAGUUGAAACAUACCCGGGCUUCUCGACAGCGAAAUAGAAAUAGUCGAUUGUGUUGACGUUCAGUGCAGUUUUGUCUGGAUUAGCUUCGAAUUAGUUCCACUUAGUUUCGGAACGCGAGGGCGCCCUGGUGGCGGGACGCGCGGGACGGGCGGGACGAGCGGGACGCGCGGCGCGGUCGCCGGGACGCGGGCGGACGCGGGACGCGGGACGCGGGACCGCAUGUGUGCGUGAUCAGGAGGAAAUUUAGGUUCGGCAGGGAUUUUAUACUCAUGCGUUUCGCAUGACUCGUGAGGAUUUAUGUUCGAAGAGACGCAUUAUUAUCGGAUUAGGUAUUUUCACCUUCGUAUACCAUUUUUAAAUUAGAAUAACGAUAUUGGUGAUAGAUGCCAAAUAAUCCUAUUAAAGAACUGAAUUUUAUAUAAAUACAUUAUUAACUGUUCUGAGGGUAUUUAGACUUAGGGAUUUAUUUAUGUAAUUUAUACGCGAUUAGCCGCUUCGGUACGUUCGAUUAGAGACGAGACGUUUUAUUUAUACGCGCAAUGCUGACGAUGUAUUUUUAUUGAAGCGCGUGCGCAGUUUGAGUUUCCUAUCUAUUUAUCGUAAUCGUACUCUUCGUUAGGACGUAAACGAGUAUCCCUCGAUUGAUAUUUUAUUUGUGCCAAGACUUUUUAGUUUAAGCGAAAGUGUAAUGAUGCCACAAAUAAUAAUCUACUAUAAAUGAAAACACGACAAGUGAACGUAACUUCUUAUUUAAAAUUAAAAUAAGAUGUAAUUGGCCUAAGAAAUUGAUAUUUUUGAAUAUUAGUAGGUUUUGUAUCCUAUCACGUUAGAUUUAACUUAUAUUUAUAACGUAUCGGGAUGUAACUCGCCGAUGUCGUCUACUCAUUUGUUAAAACUGCACGUCUGUAUCGUAAUGUGCAAUAUUUAUUGUUUAAACCCGGUGCUUAGCAUUUUUAUGUUCGGGAAACUCGAUAUGAAAUUUCCUCGGAGCUUAUUUACAUCCUCAGAACAUUUAAAUGCAAAUAUUAGUAUCGUUAAAGGCAUAAUUAUAUUGACAAUUAUUCCAAUUUUGAUGUCACUGCAAAUUUUGCAUAUUGUUUUUUUUUUAAUAUUUUCUCGCACCGUGUAUAUAUAGUACAGAAUGUAGUUUUGCUUAUUAAUGGUAUAAGUGAUAUUAGAAAUUUUGUAAUAAAACAAAAUACUGCCUUGUAGUUCACUUUCUUCCAACCAUUCCAAACGAAUCGCAAUAAUUUUAAACGAAAUGUUAUUUACAAAGAAUUUCGAUAUAGAGAUAAUUUUAUUAUCAUUUUGAUAAGACAGAAAUGGCGCACAUAAUAUAGAUUUCAUAUUUCAUACAAGAAAUGGUGCCUCGAAAGUCUACAUUUACGUCGCAAUAGUUACUUGGCCAUGUUUGUGAAUGUAUCACAUGAGCGAGACGAAAUCUUGUAAUAAAUGAAAGAAAUCACUUUAAUGUUUGACAUGAACGCUUUUAAAAAUAUUUUACAUGGAAUAAUAUUGAUUUAUUGAUCGUAUUUUUGUAAAAUUAAGUUUAACCGAACUUGUCUCGCUGAUCUGAUAUAUGUAAUUCGAUUUUGGAAUUCAACUGGUGAAGUGUUAGAAUGGAAACGUAAAUCAAACGAUCAUACAUUUAUGUAAAUUUUAUAUUCAUAAUAAACGUAACUUUUAUUCAUACUGAAUGAUUUUAUCUUUUUAUAAUAAACCCUAAACGACUAUUUACUCUGUAUUAUUUCGUUAAUUUAUUUAGAGAACUCGGUUAAGUUAUAGCUGUAUAAAGUGCUUCGGGCUUCGCUUCUGAAGUUGCUUAGUUUGCUAUCUAGGGCAAUAAUAUAUUAUAUUCGUAUUUUAACUUUUAGUUAGCCAAUUUUAAGUGUUACAUAUGAAAUGGCGCCAUCACAAUGAUUACGGAAGUCGAGUAGGUUAGGCUAGUGAGGGAUGAGUGUUAGCUAUAUUGUAUUUAGUAAUUGUUGCUGUGUUACAUGACAUUGAGUGGUUUUCAGUACUUGCGACUGAUGUUAGUUGAUACUGUUCGGCGCGUGAGCUGUCUUAUUACCUCCGAGUAUCAAUUAAAGCUAUUUUAAGUUUCCCCUCCGGCCGGUGUUACACUGCUAAUUGAACACCAAUACUAUUUAAUUGAUUUCCUUUAUCCCCACGUAUCCAUUUCUAGGUGUAUCAUAAUGUAUGAUUAAAAAUUGUCAAUGUAAUGCCGGUGACGUAUGGUUAUGAUUAUAUUUCACUUAUUUGUAAAGAUUUUUUUAACACAACAAUAAAUAUAAAUGUGAAAUA